rnacentral:lncRNA from 1 species
GCAUGAAACCAUAUGCAUGACUUACCUGAGCACCCUUUUUCUUUUCGGAGGUGAGCUUCUUCCCUAAAGAUUUGUGCAGAUGAGGUAUUUCCCUAUGGUAGUUACAUCUGGCACAUUAUACAAUACAGUGGUUGGCAUGGCACAAGAAAGAACAAAUGUCUGUUCACUAAAGAGGACCUGCAUAUUUCAGUGACUAUAGGACAAAGGACAUUCUGGUUUAAGGAGGUAUGAUUUAAUUUCAGUUUCCUUCAUCUUCAUCUUCACAACAGUUUUCCAGCAGUUAAAUUUUCAAGCACAUCUCAAGUAUGCAUUUCUAGUCUUUCCCUCUUGCUGCUAAUUGCUAGUGACAGUUCCUAAUUAAAAUGAAUAUUACUAGUCUACAAGAAUAUCCAUCAACAUUAGUAAUUAUUGAUCUCUCAUAAAUAUAUGAAUUCAUUCAGUGAAAUUGUACCAGUGACAUUUUGGGAUUUUUUUCAGUGUCAAAUCAGUCCAACUAACUCCCAUGCUCUUUAUUAGAUUUGUGAAAUCCUAUUAGCUUUUAGGUAAACAGAGAAUAUCACUUGGACCACAAGGAUCACAUUGGACCUUGCAUCAAGCCACCUUGUCUUAUGGAGGAGGAUGACUCAGUGAUUGAGCUGCUUGGGGAAUUUUUUGGUGAAACUUUUUUUUUUCUUUGGAGAGUAUGUAAUAGUAUUAACUUCUGUUGGGGAAAUGUUUGUUGAUCCACAAUGAAGUUGAUCGGGGGGGGAGAGAGGAACUGACCUACCCCACAACAGCCAGUAGCCUGGUGGUUAGAACACUCACCUAGGAUAUGGGAGAUUUGUAGCAGGCACAUACACCUUGGAUUUUCACAUUCAACCAGAGUGCCUCAUCCAAAUAUUGGCUAUUCCGGCUGCUAUGUUAUUUUUAUGAAAAACUUUGAAAGAUUUGGGGUUUCAUAGAUUUUUAGGGUUGAAAAGGACCUUGGAAGAUUAUCAAGUCUGACCCGCUGCCCCUGGGCAGGAAAGAGUGCUGCUGUCAGAUGACCCCAGCCAGGUAUAUGUCCAGUCUCCUCUUA